rnacentral:rRNA from 1 species
AUUGAACGCUGGCGGCAUGCUUUACACAUGCAAGUCGAACGGCAGCGCGGGCUUCUGCUUGGCGGCGAGUGGGCAACGGGCGGGUAAUUCAUCCGAACGUGCUCAGCAUUGGGGGGUGGGCCGACGAAAGCCGGAUUAAUCCCGCAUCCGAUCUGAAGGUGAAAGCGGGGGACCGAGAGGCAUCGCUCCAUUUGCACCGCCGAUGUCGGAUCGGCUAGUUGGUUGGGUAAAGGCUUACCAAGACGAGCAUCCGUAGCUAGUUUGAGAGGCGGACCGGCCACACGGGAACUGGAACACGGCCCAGACUCCUACGGGAGGCACCAGUGGGGAAUUUUGGACAAUGGGGGCAGCCCUGAUCCAGCCAUGCGGCGUGCGGGAGGAGGGCCUUCGGGUGGUAAACCGCUUUUGUAGGGGAAAAAGUUCUCUGGGCUAAUACCCCCGGGGGAUGACGGUACCGGAAGAAUAAGCAACGGCUAACUACGUG